rnacentral:lncRNA from 1 species
GGGAGAGAGAGGGCUGGCGUUUGGGGCCAGCAAUUGUAAAACGGGGGGGGAGGGGAAAGACAGGCUGACUUUAGGAAGUGGAAAGGAGGAGACGGGGGGGGAGCGGUGUGGGCUUGGUGACAUCUCUCCCCUUGGCCCAAAGUGUCCAACCCAGGUGGACAAGGAAUGCUGCGCCCCGAGAACGCGCCUCACCCCAAACCACUAAGCGGCUGAAGGCCGGCUCCACGUUCUGCGAGGCCUCUUCGGUCUUCCUUGAUCAGCCCUGGACAUGUGUUCCCCAUUUAGACAAAAAGAAACUUUUCACACAUCACAAAACAGCCCAGCUCGGAGUGGAGUGGACGCUUGUGAUCGGAAUGCAAGGGAGGCCAAACAGAUCUGCAGGGGAACGUGGGAUGACCGGUUGAUAUCCUCUGACCCAUUCAGGCAUCAUCCAUACACAACUUCAGAGAAGAUCUGUUCAAAGCAGCUGAUGGAUGAGUGACUGCCACGGGCAAAGAUUUCAUCCAGAUACAAAUUUUUGCCAACAGUUUGUCCAAUAAAUAUAUUUUUUGUCCACCA